CCUGCUCUUGCUUUCCUUUCUUGUCUUCAAUUGUUUGCCAGAUCUUGGAUAAAAAAAAGGUUACUCUUUGUUGUUAAUCGUGGCUUGUCAUUUGCUCAUUAAAAUUACUGCUACCUGAUGAUGGAUGGAUCAUGGAGAGAUAAAUCGAUUUAUCUUCUAUCAUCUUUCGCCUGCUAUUAUGUUGCCGUGGUAUAAUCUGCUACUCUGCUAUGUUCUGAAUGUUCCUAGCUUUUCAGCCUUCCAUGCUCUAAGUUUGCGUCUCCAAAUUCAGGCUCUUGGGAGCCAGAUAGUAGGAAGUGCUGAUGCUGGACAAAAUAUCAUUAAGGAACCUCAACUUGUAGCUCCCCAAAAUGAAAGAAAUGAUCAAGUUCGUUCAAAGAAAUGAUAACGGCGUCAAAGGAGGAGUACGAGCAACUUCCUCCCUACAUGAAGAGUCUAGCAUCCUGGGAGGUCUGAAUUUCUUACCCACUUGGACGCCCAUAGAACUUUAUGCAUGCUGGAUAUGCAUAGUCAUAAAAUUACAACAUGUGUUUCUUGAAAUUAGUAACUUUACUCUCUAAGUAAUAAGUAAAUCAGUUGAAGACAAAUAUUCUGCAACAUCUUCACUUGCUAUUUCCUCAAAUUAUUGCUUUUUUUCUUUGUCUUCUUGAUCCAAAAUGGACUCGUGGUGUCGUGAUUCAUGAGCCAGGGCAAUAGCUAUGUUAUCAGUGUGGUCUGCCUCAGAGUUGCGCUGUUUUGUUCCAUUAGGAAUUGCAGGAUGGAAUAUGCGAAUUAAAUUCAUACUUUGGCAGUAACAAUGCAUUGAAUCAAAAUGAUACUAGAGCAAUAGGACUUGGUAUGUGCAGUUACUUCUCUUCGCCUGUAAAUUUGGAAAUUUCACAUGUUAUAGCACUCUGAACAAAAAACUUUUUGUCAGGUUGUUUCAUUGCCACAUGCUCUUGAGGAAUUUCUGGUUGUGUUAUGGUAGUUAGCCAUGGUUCUUACAUGUGGCAAAAUUACACUCUUUGAGAAUAACAAUCGUGGUUUUCAAAUAUUAAUUUUUGGAAGUAUUGUGACAUAAGGCUUGAGAAUUUAUUCUUAAAUGUGUGAAUUUCAUCCUAAAUUUCUUUAAAAUAAAUCCACUAAUGCAUUUGUGAUGAUGCCUUCAUGCAACAGCAAAGAAAAUUGAAAAGAAAAUGAAAGGUGUUGAUCUAAAUGUUCAUGCACCUGUCAUCCUUAUGUUAGAAAAAGUCAUUCAUUAUUUUCACAUCCCAGGAACAAUAGGAGUUUGAGUACAUAUACACAAUUUAGACUGCCACUAUGCUGUAUAGAGUACACGAGUACCAUAAUGCACACCCUGCACCUGUAUUUCCUUAUACUCAUUUGUGGUCUUUGUGAUAGGUUUUGACUUUGGAGUAUAAUGCCUGUAUCAUGACCUCAUUGUGCA